CUUCUCCCUCUGUGCUCUCUCCUUGGUUGGGAAGGGGAGGGGGCGGCCCAAGAGGCCCAUUCCUGUCCGGCAGGCCCCUUGCUCAGGAGGCCGGGGCUCCACCACGGAGCCUGCAAGACCUUCCCCGAACCCCUCAUCCUGCGGGAAAUUUAUUUACACUUGUGUCACGCCAGGCGUGUGGCUGUGACCAUGGGUCCCCGCCUGCCCUGCGUGGACACCAAGACUUGAACUCUAGUCUCCAGGCAAUUAAGAUGGCAGGGACUGUACUUCAUUAAUGGUGGUUAUGCAAUAAAAACGAUCCAACGGCCCUUAUUUUGCCAUUUAAAAAUGCAAUUUAUUUUAAUUUACGUUUCUAAGUACUUCUGGGGUUUGAUGGGGGGCGGCCAGGGCACCAUGGAGCGGGGCUAGAGCCACAGCUCCUCCAUGGGGAGGGCGGGGAGUGGCGGAGAUGAAAUGGGACCUGAGCAGCAGGACAUGCAGAGAAACCUGAGGGGGUGGGCCGUGGCCUAGGCUGGGAGGAGAUGAACGCGCUGGCUGCCUUUUAAAAAGCGGUGAAAAGUCAGUCUGAGGCCUUGCCCUUCUGUCCCCGGCGGCUGCAGAGGGGACCAGAGCAUUCCCGAGCCGUCCAUCCGUCCGGAAGCCUGCCGGGCAGGACUGUCUCCUGGGAGCCUGGGACCUUGGGCACAGCCGCUGCCCCCAGGCCGCCUCGCGUGCAGCUGGGCAGGUUCCUCGGGUCCAGCAGCAUCCAGCCCGUGGCCUUUGGAGACUCCCUGGAAUCAGGCGCCCGGCCGCGGCGCCCUCCGCCUCCUCCCAACCUCGUGUGGGGAUCAGAUGUCGGUUCUGCAGCCUCUGGACGGUCCAGCUGUCCCGUCCCAGCGCGCCCUGUGCGAAGCCAGGGCACCAUAUGCACCGCCGAGGCCUGAGGGCCCAGACAGCCCCCGCAGGAGCGGCGAGGCUGAAGCGCCUGAUGGCCAGGUCCCCGGCAGCACCUCAGCACAGCGUGGGUGUCCCCAGGAGCCCCUGUGGACACCCCGCGCUGGAGAUGACCAGCAAGUACCCAGGUGGUCUGACUCCCACAGUCCGGCGAUGGCCCCGGGGACCUGGACAGGCUGCAGGGUCAGUGAUGGGAGCAAAGCUGAGCUGCACGCUUCACGCGCGAAACGUUUCGUUGACUGAAUCCUGGACAGACGGACGGAUGGUGAUCUCUCGCUGGGCACAAAGAAGAUGUCCGUGGCCCUUUUAGGGUCCACACACCUGUUGGUGGCAGAGCUGACCUUGCUGGCUCCACCUGCAAUUUUCUUUGGAGAAUCAGAGAGCAGAGCAAACCCCCAGGCAGACGGACGGGGUUGGGGGAGGUGGGGGUGGCCUCGCUGGCCUGUUCCUUGCAGUGACCAAGCGCACAAGGGACACAGGAAAGACGCCCCCCUCCUUGACAAAGGCAGGGGCAUAGAGGGGCCCUGGAGUGCAGUCCACCCCCCACCUACCACCCACCCCAGCAUCUCAGUGCUGGUGAACCGAGGCCAGAAUGAAGCCGGAGGAGCUGGGAUGUGCUUGGGGGAGGGGCGGGAGAGGAGGACAGGGACAGGCCUCACUGUCGCCAUGGAACCCGCUUGUGGCCCGCUGCCCCAGCCGAAUGGGGCCUCCCCGCCCACCUGGCUGGGAAAGACCCCUCCUUGGGCUUAGUGGGCUUCCGCUGGCCCUCAGGCCAGGCCUGGCGCCCUAUGGGGACAGCCAGACUCCUGGGUCCCAAGGACACAGGACAUGGGGAAGGAGGGAGAGGAGAAGGAAGAGAAAGAAGCUGGUUCCUCACCCUCCGCUCCCUUAUAGCCUUAGAACGUUAAAGAU